UCUCAGAAAUCUGCUUCAUGUUUUGUCCCUGAUAUGUGGGAAAUGCAUUUGUUCCAAGCCUAUGUUUGAUAUGUUGAACUUUUUAAAUCUGAUGAGAAUGUCAGCAGAGUCUUAUUGGAGUGGAUAAUGAGGACAUGGCAAGCAUCCCUCAUCAAGUGCUGAUUUCCCGUGCGCCUAGGAUGUAACGUGCUAGCCCUUCGUGAACAUCUGCUAUCAUAAGGUCCAGAACCACUACAGUUUGAACAACUUGGUGACUGUCCCCCACCUCACCCCGAUCCAGGCUAGAAAGGAUGUAGUCCCUUGUCUUCAUCCCCAGAGGGGCCUGACCUAGUAAGGAGGCUCAAAGCAUGGAUACCAACCAACACCAUCAGAGCUAUACACUUACCUUUUGAUACAAUAGCCUUAUGGCUAGAUGACAUGACUAUGGUGAUGGAGGCCUGGGUUCAAUUCCUUCCCAGCUUCUUUGCACUGCUCAGAAGAGUGCCCUAUCCACCUCCCACCCCCUGCUAGCGCUGGUGUGUGGAGGUGGAGCUCUCUCCUGCCUCCUGGGCAAUGGUACAGGAAGAAGAUCAAGAUUUUUUCAUGUUACAGUGAAAGAAGGUAAAAGGUUUGGGUGGCCUGGUGGUUAGGCAGCUCACCUGGAGGCAGUCCUGGCAUGCAGCUCCUGCUCUCUGGCUUGCUUCUGCAUUUUACCCAAACCUGUUCAAUGUAAAAUAAUGAAAUGGUCCUGGAAACAGGGAGGAAAAGAAAAGUUUUAGUAUUUUUAACUACAACACUAAUCUGUGAAAUGAGCACACUGGUAAUAAAUGACAUUUUCUAUAUCCUAGUUGUGAUAAGUCUAAUUCAAGAGAUUGGCGUGAUAGCACUGAAACCUAAAGAUGGCAAAGUAGAUAUCAACAUUGGCUAUUUUUCUGUUGAUCAAAGCAUGAGCGAGAGGUAGAUAAUACUGUAUAACCCAUUCCAGUCUGUAAUAACAAACCUAGAAACCUGUCCAAGCAGAUACUGGGCCAUAACAAAAUGACUCUCAUCCCCAUUGUUGCAGUCUUUGUCUUCAAGACCCCUAAAGUGUGACUUCAUUCAUCUUCCUGCACCUUGCAUCCUAGGUAUGAGGUGCUCAGGUGGGCCAUGAGUGGAAUAACUAAUGGCCAGAAUAGCCAAGUGUGGACUUUUUCAAGAAAGCGUGUUUUGCUGUUGUUGGAAAAUGGGGAUGU